AUUGAACGCUGGCGGCAGGCCUAACACAUGCAAGUCGAGCGGAUGAAGGGAGCUUGCUCCUGGAUUCAGCGGCGGACGGGUGAGUAAUGCCUAGGAAUCUGCCUGGUAGUGGGGGAUAACGUCCGGAAACGGGCGCUAAUACCGCAUACGUCCUGAGGGAGAAAGUGGGGGAUCUUCGGACCUCACGCUAUCAGAUGAGCCUAGGUCGGAUUAGCUAGUUGGUUGGGUAAAGGCCUACCAAGGCGACGAUCCGUAACUGGUCUGAGAGGAUGAUCAGUCACACUGGAACUGAGACACGGUCCAGACUCCUACGGGAGGCAGCAGUGGGGAAUAUUGGACAAUGGGCGAAAGCCUGAUCCAGCCAUGCCGCGUGUGUGGAGAAGGUCUUCGGAUUGUAAAGCACUUUAAGUUGGGAGGAAGGGCAGUAAGUUAAUACCUUGCUGUUUUGACGUUACCAACAGAAUAAGCACCGGCUAACUUCGUG
rnacentral:rRNA from 1 species